AGAAUGUUUUAGAAAACUCUAGAAGAUGAAUAAUGACCCUUAGAUUAAUGUUGUGGUGGCAAGAUCCUAACCAUUGGUUAAGGAGGUGCCACUAGUAUAAAUAGGNGUGAUUGGAUCAUUUGUAAGCAAGCCAAAUAAAAAGCCAACAUCUACAACAACUAAGACAAUUACUACACUUCUUCCAACUACUACUUCUANAUCCUACUAUCUCUACAUUUUCUCUACCUUAUCAACUACUCCUUUCACAACCUUUAAAUACUAACAAAAUUCCUUUUGCUCGUUUCUUCAUUAGCUUAUUUUAUAUCUAUUAAGCACUUUCAUUUUCUUGGUUUUGACUGGUUUAGCAGUGGGGAACGGUACAUUCAAUAUUUUGCAUUUACUUUCUUUGCAUUGAACAGGGUGGUGUCACGGUGAUUCUUCAUUUACACGGUUACAACAGCAACUUUUAUCACUUUUAUUUUCUUUUCUUUUGCCUUUUAGAAAGAACUAGUUGAUUAAGAAGCACACGGCACUCUUGCAUUGAUUGUUUUGAUUCCAGCAAUACUCAAUGAUGAAUGGCAUUGCAUUAUUCC
rnacentral:lncRNA from 1 species